rnacentral:rRNA from 1 species
UACGGGGGGGGCAAGCGUUGUUCGGAAUUACUGGGCGUAAAGGGCUCGUAGGUGGCCAACUAAGUCAGACGUGAAAUCCCUCAGCUUAACUGGGGAACUGCGUCUGAUACUGGAUGGCUUGAGUUUGGGAGAGGGAUGCGGAAUUCCAGGUGUAGCGGUGAAAUGCGUAGAUAUCUGGAGGAACACCGGUGGCGUAGGCGGCAUCCUGGACCAAUACUGACACUGAGGAGCGAAAGCCAGGGGAGCAAACGGG